AUGGCGGAUGCAAGGAACAAGUUCUCUCAACCGGAUGAAGAUACACCCUUCGGACGCCACUUGAAGGAAGUCACUAGAUACCUAAACAUCGGAGUACCAAGCUUCACCGGGACCUACAUCGCCACCUUGCCAGAAGAGGAGCGUUGGAUGAUUCAAGUUCAAGUUCUAGGAAUAACGUUCAUGCCAGUCACUGAGCCCAUAGAGUUUUCCUUUGAUGCACCAACCUGGAGUCUAGAAAAGAGCAUGGCAGCCCACAUCACCAUGGGACGCAUUGGAGAAGUUUACCAUAAGAAUCUCAAGGAUACUAUCUAUCAGAUUUGUGGGCGCCGAGAUGAGCAAUGGGAGAUGAUCAGCACCAGGAAGGAUAGAUCUAUUGCAGCUUUCAUCCAGGAGUUAAACCAGCACAUUCGUCGCCAGGAGAACCAGAUAUGCGCAGGCAUGAUAGAUCUGAAGAAGGCAAUGACCAAGAUCAUCGAGCUGAAGGAAGAACUAAAGUCUACACACGAUGGAUAUGAGGAGGAAAUGACCGAUACUCGUGGAGAAAAAUGA
rnacentral:rRNA from 1 species